UACAGAGGGGGCAAGCGUUGUUCGGAAUUACUGGGCGGAAAGGGCGCGUAGGCGGCCCGCUAAGUCGAACGUGAAAUCCCCGGGCUCAACUCGGGAACUGCGUCCGAUACUGGCGGGCUUGAAUCCGGGAGAGGGAUGCGGAAUUCCAGGUGUAGCGGUGAAAUGCGUAGAUAUCUGGAGGAACACCGGUGGCGAAGGCGGCAUCCUGGACCGGCAUUGACGCUGAGGCGCGAAAGCUAGGGGAGCAAACGGG
rnacentral:rRNA from 1 species